rnacentral:rRNA from 1 species
UACGGAGGGUGCAAGCGUUAUCCGGAUUCACUGGGUUUAAAGGGUGCGUAGGCGGUCUAUUAAGUCGGUGGUGAAAGCUCGCAGCUUAACUGUGAAACUGCCAUCGAUACUGAUAGUCUUGAAUACCUUGGAUGUGGGCGGAAUACAUCAUGUAGCGGUGAAAUGCUUAGAUAUGAUGUAGAACACCGAUUGCGAAGGCAGCUCACAACAAGGCAAUUGACGCUGAGGCACGAAAGCGUGGGUAGCAAACAGG